CCCGAUCUGACGUGGGAGCGGCCAGAUCCGUGCGUCUCCGCCUCGCUCCGCGCGCCUCCAUGGUCUACCGUCUUCUCGAGCGCCGGUGCCGCGCUCAGCCGCCGCCAUCCCAUGCCAUGGUUGCCUCCCUCCAGAACGACCUGCCAUGGCCGCCUCCCUGCCUCUCCCGCAAGUGGGCCUCUGCACGACCAGAUCCGUUCCUCUGCGCCUCGCUCCGCGCGCCAUGAUGGUCCUCCGUCUUCCCGAGCGCCGGCGCCGUGCGCAGCCGCCGCCGCCCCAUGCCAUGGUCGCCUUCCUCCAGAACACCGUGCCAUGGCCGCCUCCCUGCCUCUCCCGCAAGUGGGCCUCUGCGCCCCCGGCCUAGCAGAUUAAUGGAGGGCGCUGCCGACGUCGGGACAUGCCUCGGUUCACCUGCUUCCUGAUGUCCAAUUAUUUUUUGUUGUUGCUAUAUUCAACCUCAUCUCUGAAAGCCUACACCUUCCUGUGCUGUUGCUAUAUUCACGAGUUUGACAGGAGAAGGGACUGGAGGCAUACAGUAGGCAGAACAGUGGAACAAAACUCAGCUUCAAUUAAUCGACAUGGUGUUCGCAAAUGGAAAGUCGUUCCUGCUGCUACAGUUCAUUGGUUCAAGUCCGACACUGAGCUCACAAUGGACGUUGAGUUGGUGGACACAAUGGACAAUAAGCCCAUGAAGCUCCAGAAGUCCAGAUUUGGAUACGGUAUUUCCCUUUCUAUCUAAAAUCUACCAUAGAAAUUUGUACUAGCUGCAUAUACAUCAAAAGAGGUGGCACACUUGAAACUACUUCAGGAACAGUUUAGUUGUCAAAGGCAAAUAACCAUUUUUAGUGGUCGUUACAUUAAACCUAGGACGAGAUGCAUAUAGAGUUCUGUUAUGGCUACUACGAUACAGAUGUCAACGCAAAGUAUUUCCUCUUUUCUAUGAAAAGGUUUACAUUAUAAGGAUAAUCGAGUAUAAUAAUAUGGAUGAAAAUAUUGCUCUCCUGCUAGGUCUUAGAAGUUAGAAUCCACAAAGUUAGGUUAAUUAUAGUAAUUAUGACCCCACUUAUGCCUUCUCUUUACGCAUUAAGAUGUGUCGCUCCUUUAAAAAAAUAAGAUAUUGAUUCUUGUGUUUUGAAGUCUUGGAUGUGACUAAUUGUAUGACAUGCCGAUAUCUGGCGAGCCUGGUGUGUUCUGUUUUCUCACACCCGCCGCCGUCGCACAAGGUGAUUGUUGGACGUGAGCGAGCUUCAGGAGCACUUCCUACAGGUUGUCGGCCGUUCACAAGUACUUCCUUUCAAGCCGAAUGGGCUCUUUAUUUUACUGAUCUGGACACACCACCUUCUCAGGUCUAAAAUUUUGAGUUUUCAGGUCUAAAAUGUAACUGAUGUAAAGAUUUGUCCAUCCCUUGACAGAAUCCGACUUUUUUUCCAGCUGGUGCACUGAGGGAGGCGUUUGAUGUAGCAACUGCCUUUAAAAAACAAUGCCAUGAUUGAUUCAUUCCCCACUGGUAUAUUCAAAGUUCUAGGUCUAUACAUCAAUACAUGUAUAUUGCUUCUAAAGAUCUUGCAAAUUUGGAAGCUAAAAUUAGAUAAAAUGAUAUAAGUUUUUAGGUUAAUUCUAAUGUAAUGCAAUUUCAACUUCCUCUGGACUCUUGAAAGUAACUAUUUUGUUUGCCUGCAGUAUGUUCGUCCAGCAGAGGAUGCUCUUCAGUGGAAAAUUCUGAAACCUUAUUCAGCUUUGAUGUAUAGCUGGCACAGUUUGUUAAUAAUCUCUAUGAACAUUUGUACAAAUGGAAUGAAGAGCUCAAGGGAGCAAAAGGAACAAGGAGAAAGGAGCGCUCAAGAGAAGUGAACUCAAAGUCCAAGAUGCAAUCUUCACAUAGC